UUGCCCUUUCAUUACGUCACGUCUCUUCCUUAAAGCCAGGCGCGUGACUCUGACGUCAGUGCGCAGUGGCAAGGUCUCUCAAAAAAAAAAAAAAAACUCCGACAGUGGCUACUUUUGUUCUACAAUCCACCCACAGAAAGCCGCCAUUUUGACACUAGAACAACACAUGAUCCAUUUUCUGCCACGCUGGAACCGAGCUCUGGCAGACACGUGAAAAAAUAAAGUUUAUUAAAUUUAACGGAAGUAAAGACCCUUGUCAGACGGGCGGAAGCAGCAGGAUGUGGCCGGUGUCGUGCCUGCCGGGUGUCGUCGACAAAAAAAACAAAACAAAAAAAGUAACAGAAAUAAGACUUACGACAUGAUGCUGAGUGAGAGGUGACUCAGUGCACUGGCUGGAUGCACUGUUUGGUUGGUUGCUGCUGGCUCGCGGCACACGUUUACACUGCCAUUUCGGCAAAGACGUCGAUGUCUAACUACGAUGUUGUUUCUGACGCUGUUCUUCUCUGAGGAAAA